rnacentral:rRNA from 1 species
UACGUAGGGUGCAAGCGUUGUCCGGAAUUAUUGGGCGUAAAGAGCUCGUAGGCGGUUUGUUGCGUCGGCUGUGAAAUCCCGAGGCUCAACCUCGGGUCUGCAGUCGAUACGAGCAAACUAGAGUGUUGCAGGGGAGACUGGAAUUCCUGGUGUAGCGGUGAAAUGCGCAGAUAUCAGGAGGAACACCGGUGGCGAAGGCGGGUCUCUGGGCAGUAACUGACGCUGGAGGAGCGAAAGCCGUGGGGAGCGAACAGG